UGAGGAAUAUUGCGCAAUGGAGGAAACUCUGACGCAGCCAUGCCGCGUGAGUGAAGAAGGCCCUAGGGUUGUAAAGCUCUUUCAGAUGCGAAUAUAAUGAAGGUAACAUCAGAAGAAGCUCCGGCUAAAUUCGUGCCAGCAGCCGCGGUAAUACGAAUGGAGCGAGCGUUGUUCGGAAUCAUUGGGCGUAAAGCGUAUGUAGGCGGAAUAGAAAGUCAGAAGUGAAAUCCCGGGGCUCAACCCCGGAAUUGCUUUUGAAACUCCUAUUCUCGAGUCCCGGAGGGGUUGACGGAAUUCCUAGUGUAGAGGUGAAAUUCGCAGAUAUUAGGAGGAACACCAGUGGCGUAGGCGGUCAACUGGACGGGUACUGACGCUGAGAUACGAA
rnacentral:rRNA from 1 species